UACGUAGGUGGCAAGCGUUAUCCGGAUUUAUUGGGCGUAAAGGGAACGCAGGCGGUCUUUUAAGUCUGAUGUGAAAGCCUUCGGCUUAACCGGAGUAGUGCAUUGGAAACUGGGAGACUUGAGUGCAGAAGAGGAGAGUCGAACUCCAUGUGUAGCGGUGAAAUGCGUAGAUAUAUGGAAGAACACCAGUGGCGAAAGCGGCUCUCUGGUCUGUAACUGACGCUGAGGUUCGAAAGCGUGGGUAGCAAACAGG
rnacentral:rRNA from 1 species